rnacentral:rRNA from 1 species
CUUUAAGGGUCCUGAAGGAACGUUGAAGACGACGACGUUGAUAGGCCGGGUGUGUAAGCGCAGCGAUGCGUUGAGCUAACCGGUACUAAUGAACCGUGAGGCUUAACCUUACAACGCCAAAGCUGUU